rnacentral:rRNA from 1 species
CAAUAGCGUAUAUUAAAGUUGUUGCAGUUAAAAAGCUCGUAGUUGGAUUUCUGGUGGGAGCGAUCGGUCUGGCGCUUAGCGCGAGUACUUGCAUCGUCUCCGGCCAUCCUUGGGGAGAGUCUGUCUGGCAUUAGGUUGUCGGGCAGAGGAUCCUCAUCGUUUACUGUGAAAAAAUUAGAGUGUUCAAAGCAGGCUUAUGCCGUUGAAUAUAUUAGCAUGGAAUAAUAAGAUAGGACUUUGGUACUAUUUUGUUGGUUUGCGCACCAAAGUAAUGAUUAAUAGGGACAGUUGGGGGUAUUCGUAUUCCGUUGUCAGAGGUGAAAUUCUUGGAUUUACGGAAGACGAACUACUGCGAAAGCAUUUACCAAGGAUGUUUUCAAUAA